GACGAACGCUGGCGGCGUGCUUAACACAUGCAAGUCGAACGGAAAGGCCCUUCGGGUUAGGCGUGCGCGGGUGGCGAACGUAAGACUAACGCGAGAUUAACCUGACCUUGACUUAAGGAUAGCUUCAGGGAACUAGGACUGAUAACGGAUAGGAGCUCCAGCUGCAUGGUGGGGGUAGGAAAGCUUCGGCGGUUGGGGAUGGACUCGCGGCUUAUCAGCUUGUUGGUGGGGUAGUGGCUUACCAAGGCUUUGACGGGUAGCCGGCCUGAGAGGGUGACCGGCCACACUGGGACUGAGAUACGGCCCAGACUCCUACGGGAGGCAGCAGUGGGGAAUAUUGCACAAUGGGCGGAAGCCUGAUGCAGCAACGCCGCGUGCGGGAUGACGGCCUUCGGGUUGUAAACCGCUUUCGCCUGUGACGAAGCGUGAGUGACGGUAAUGGGUAAAGAAGCACCGGCUAACUACGUG
rnacentral:rRNA from 1 species